UCGCCAAGCUUUUGGCAAAAUUUGAUACAGAUUCUCUACUUAACUUUCUCUGUGAUGGUCAAUGCGACGAUCACACGCUACACACGUUCCUUCCAAGCACUGCUGUAAACAGUAGAUAUCGGAAGAACGUC